rnacentral:rRNA from 1 species
UACGUAGGGGGCAAGCGUUGUCCGGAAUCAUUGGGCGUAAAGAGCGUGUAGGCGGCCAAGUAAGUCCGGUGUGAAAACUCGAGGCUUAACCUCGAGAUGUCAUCGGAAACUAUUUGGCUAGAGUCCGGAAGAGGAGAGUGGAAUUCCUGGUGUAGCGGUGAAAUGCGCAGAUAUCAGGAAGAACACCUAUGGCGAAAGCAGCUCUCUGGGACGGUACUGACGCUGAGACGCGAAAGCGUGGGGAGCGAACAGG